rnacentral:tmRNA from 1 species
GGGGCUGACUUGGAUUUCGACAGAUUUCUUGUCGCACAGAUAGCAUGCCAAGUGCUACUUGUAAAACAGCAACAAAAAUAACUGUAAACAACACAGAUUACGCUCCAGCUUACGCUAAAGCUGCGUGAGUUAAUCUCCUUUUGGAGCUGGACUGAUUAGAAUUUCUAGCAUUUUAAUCACUCCAUAACCUUAAGCUAGACGCUUUUAAAAGGUGGUUCGCCUUUUAAACUAAGAAACAAGAACUCUUGAAAUUACCUCAAGGUUUUAGAAAGUUGGACCAGAGCUAGUUUUAAGGCUAAAAAACCAACCAAUUUUCUAAGCAUUGUAGAAGUUUGUGUUUAGGACAAGAUUUUUGGACUGGGGUUCGAUUCCCCACAGCUCCACCA